UAGAACAUAGUAUAGCGGAAGUAUGGGGAGUUUUGAUCUCUCUGGGGCAGGUUCAAAUCCUGUUUUUCUAA
rnacentral:tRNA from 1 species